AAGAAAAAUAAGGAUUCAAGCACCAAGAAGCAGCCGGCGAGGGAGGCCGCUGCUGCGAACAGCGAGUCGAGGGCGAUGGUGGCGGAGAGGGAGAAGGAAUACGACCGGCUGUCUAAGUUCCUCGUGGUCUACCUCAAUGCUAUUUGAGACGCUGCGGCCUCCGAGGAUGGCUGGGUCCUGGGACGUGGAGCUCUGGAAUUGCUGCUCGGCGGCACCGCCUACACACAAGCGACAAGUGCGCCACAAAUCUCUCUCUCGAUGCAGCAAGUGCAGCGGAGGGAGCUGCAACUGGUCGCCGUUUCUGCCAUGCUGAUAGAUUGCAAGUACGAGGAGAUUUGGGCCCCAGAGGUGAACGACUUCAUCUUCAUAUCAGAUAGUGCAUACACUAGGGAACAGAUUCUUGCAAUGGAGAAGGGGAUUCUGAAUAAGCUUCAGUGGAAUCUCACCAUUCCUACACCAUAUGUCUUCAUUAUGAUGCUAUCUGCGUCUGCAGAUAACAAAAGUGACAAGGAGGUAAAGAGCCAUGGCUUUUGUUUGUUUCUGUUUACCACCAGAUUAUAUUUCAUUGCUAAGCGACAAGUUUAAGCGUGUACUCAAGAUUUCUUUUGGUGAAUGCUGAUGGAGCACAUGGCCUUCUUCUUCGCUGAAUUGGCACUGAUGCAGUACGGGCUGGUGGCAUAUGCCUCUGCUGUCUAUGCAGCCAGGCCCAAUCCUCGUCAUUUCUAUAUAUGAAGAAAUUGCUGGAUCCAUCCUCUCGGCUAACUAGGACGUUGUUCCACUAGAUCUCCAUUAUUCCUAGUGCAGGUUUAUUUGGAUUACAUAAUCCCCUAUCGGUUUAGUUCCCUUUAUUGUUGAACAAUUGGAGAUAAUAUCUUUCACGAUAAUUCGUACCACUGAGCAAAAUUCAAUGAUGCAAUUAUUUUAUAUGCAACUCAUUUGGUGAACAAGAUGUAUCUUGUGGCAAACAACGAGAUGAAAAGUUACUUGAUCCUUCAGGCAUACCUGUGAUUUUCCAAUCUAUUCUUUGCACGUUCUUGGAAAGAUUGGUUGUCCCUGAUAGCUGUCCGUAGUGAUUCAUGGAUACUGUGUGGCAUUUUACUUUGGGGCUCAUUUUGGAUUUGAUAAAGAAGUCAGAUUGCCAAGAGAAGGUCAGCUCAUCUGCUGAAGUAUCCUACUGUGACGAUUAUAAGCCCUGGGAUCAGUAACACUAGAGUCCAUUCAAGACUCCAUAAUGCUAGGUCCUAACAGAAUGCUGAGGCCCUCAAGUUCAAAAGAUUAUCACAGAGCCGGCAACAACUCAUUGAUUGGUCAGUAAAAAUAAAGGUUUCAAAGGAGCAUGGGGGUUUCAUGAGAUUUAUCCAGGUUUCUUGCCUAGGAGCAUCGGCCUCUUCUUCUAGAAUGCUGAGGGCCAAGGCUGCUGGGGAAGAAUCUGUGUUGAAGGAAUUUCCUGAGGCUACAAUUAUGAGGCCUGCAACUAUGAUUGGCACAGAAGAUCGGAUUUUGAACAGAUGGGUACAGUUUGCUAAAAAUUGAUUCCCGGUCUACAAAGAUUCAGCCUGUUUAUGUUGUGGAUGUUGCUGCUGCUAUUGUCAACUCCCUCAAGGAUGAUGGCACCAGCAUGGGAAAGAGCUACGGACUUGGUGGACCAGAGAUUUAUACUGUUCAUGAUCUGGCUGAGCUGAUGUAUGAGACAAUAUGUGAAUGGCCACGGUACAUCGAUGUUCCUCUUCCUAUUGCAAGGGUAUGAACUUAAAUAAUAUCUUGUGUUGGUCAAGGCGAAUGGCCACGGUACAUCGAUGUUCCUCUUCCUGUUGCAAGGGCUAUCGCAUCUCCUGAAAGCUGAUAGAUUGGGAUUUUUUUUUUCAAUACUCUAAGCCUCUAAUGAAAGGUGCAUAUGGACUUUUAUUUUAGAUGUUCUAACUUUGUUUUGUCUCUACCUCUCAAAUUGUUACUAUAUAUGUACUCUUCAACCUGCCGCAUAGGUUGGCACAUGUUUAUAAGGUCAAAUGGAAUAUAUUUCUUGUGUUUUUACUAUCAUUUGGUUUAGUUCUUUCACACAGCAAUGUUGCUAUUUCUAUUGUUGCUUCCCGCCCUGGAAAAAACACGGCUCAAGCCGUGAGGUCUUCAUUUGCUUCUCUUGUGACCAAUUAAUCUGUAGGUUUGGGUCCAAAGUAUGCUUUCGCAACCAAGUGAUGAAAAAAAAAACAAUCUGGUUGGGGAUGUCAAUUGGUUGGUUCAUACAAGAAUAAACCUAUGACAUUCGCAACUUUUUCAAGUGAGGGAUCUGUUUUUUGGUUGCAGCUGACAGUGUCAUCACGUUGUGGGAUCCUGGUAAUAAUAUCACAUUUGUUGGUAUGAUUAAAGAGGCACUAUUUAGUGGUAUGCUACUAUCUUUGAAAUGUUGUGGAUGAAGCACUGUGAGUUGCUUGUGAGGAAGAUCAAGCACAUGGUUGCUGAGCUAUUCAAGGCAAAAGAAUAAAUAAGAUCCUAUCGUCUUCAACGUGGUGCUAUCAUCCUUGGUCAUCAGGGAAAACUCAGAAGACCAUGAACCACUCCGGCCACUCAUAGAUGAAAAGAAUACUUGUGAUAUACUGGUGUAAUAAUUGUGGAGCGAUGAUUCACAAACAAAGGAUGCUGUAGUUGCUUAAAUGCAUUUAAGUUGCGAGGACAGCAGUCCGAAGAUUUGCCUUCUAGAUGCGAUAUCAGGAUUGUGAAUCAGGUCAAAAGCACUGCACCUGCGAUGGACAGUGGUGGUGAACAGCGUGGCAUUCAUGACAAUAGAGAUAGGCAAUGGCUGAGGCAGAAAGUUAAUGCUACACGGGAGCUAGCUAGCUACUACUACUCCAGAAGAUACUGAUUCCUAGCGGGCAUGUGGAGUUGUACUACUAGUUAAUUAAUGGGGCAUGUUCAAUUAAUGUUGGUCGCUGUGUGAAGUGGAUCGGAGUAGUAGUAUUUAUAUGGGCACCCAGCAGGCAGGGGAGGGAUCAAAAUCGAGCGCACACGUACUGUACUUACUGCCAGCCACUAACAAGAGUCAGACAAUGGACUCAAAGAAGGUCGCGUAUGCUGUUUUUAUCGUCAUUCUCCUAAUGACGGAGGUAGCGGCCGCCGCUGCCGCUGGAGGCAGCGCCCGUGGGACUGGUGGUACAGGUGAUCGCGCCAACGAUGAAGAGAAAUUUAUCUUUGGCCAUCUGAGCAAAGCAAUAUUAAUUUACAUAGCCAGUCACUUCCCAGGUCACAUUAAAGAGUGCGUCAACCACGUCGAAAACCAGUGUGGCUGGGCUCCGGCGCCUGGAUGCCUGAAAGAGGCAUUAGCCACAUGCGCCAAAUAAGGCGCCCGCUGCUUCGCUUCCUCUGGCGGUCUGGCCCCUCUCCGCAUAAAUAAUUGUAAUAAGGGGUCCUAGUGAAUAUAUAUAUAUAUAUAUAUGUGGUACUCACUGCAGUGAGUAUGUAUUAUGUACUACUUAUUAUAUAGUAAUAAAAUUUGAAUAAAGUAAUAUUUGAGCCUGCA